UUUGAGGGGAAUGUUGUCUGGUUCAAGGUCAUAUGAUGCUUUAUAGUUUCUCCUCGGACCAGGCUUCAUUCCCCUCAAU
rnacentral:pre_miRNA from 1 species